rnacentral:lncRNA from 1 species
UCAAACUGAGACCCAGGCACACAACACGUGAAGACACAUAGCAGGGUGGACACUGGACAUACACUGUGGUCAUACAAGGACAUACCUGUGUGUUUUGUGUCGUAUUCUGGGCAACUCUAGGGCAUGGAGUCCAUCAUGAGUCAGGCAGGUGAACCGUUCAGGAAUAACGCGGAGGACAGGUGUACUACACAGUCCCGUGUGAUGUCUACAGGAGAGAAGGCAAUGGAGCCAUUGGAAGCAAAGACUAUGGACCUU